rnacentral:rRNA from 1 species
AAACAUAUCGUCGCUGAAUCGUCCAGCAGUAUCGUCUGUGAAGUAGUUUCGCUCCGUAUUCUUCUCACUAGCCCCACCGCAACACCCCAUGUACUCCUCCACCACUACUCCCUCUCGCUUUCAUGUGGGCCCUCAACUCCGUGACCCACAAGUCGGCCAAGUUGUAAGAUUCCUGUAAGCUGUAGCCUUCUCCUCCCCCAGCAUAGGCGAUGGUCCCGUCGCCCAGUAGAACAAUUUACUACAGGGAAGAGAGAGGGAGGAAGAAAGCUAUCAACGGCGACGCGGCGGUCCAGCAGAUCCGUACUGCUCGGGGGAUCUGGGGGAAGGGAGAACCGGCGGGGGCCGCCUAUGCGUCGGUGAGGUGGGGCCCAGUAGGCGGUAGAGCAGGAAUGGCGGCGGCGGUGUUGGGGAGAGGGAGGUGGCGACCGGUGGUCGUCGCUGUGUUGAUGGUUGUUGCGGGGGUGGGCCAUGUCUUCGCCAACACGGAGGGUGAUGCUCUGUAUAACCUGCGUCAGAGUCUGAAGGAUAGCAACAAUGUAUUGCAGAGUUGGGAUCCCACUCUUGUUAAUCCUUGUACAUGGUUUCAUGUUACAUGUAACAAUGAUAACAGUGUAAUUAGAGUUGACCUUGGAAAUGCACAAUUAUCCGGUGUACUAGUGUCCCAGCUUGGGCAGCUGAAAAAUCUCCAAUAUUUGGAGCUUUACAGCAACAACAUAAGUGGGCCAAUACCUGCUGAACUGGGCAACCUAACUAGCCUGGUCAGUUUGGAUUUGUAUCUGAACAAGUUCACAGGAGUUAUUCCUGACAGCCUGGGGAAUCUUUUGAAGCUUCGAUUCCUCCGUCUUAACAACAACAGCAUGUCGGGUCAAAUUCCUAAAUCCUUGACUGAUAUCACUACUCUUCAAGUACUCGAUCUCUCAAACAACAACCUCUCAGGAGCAGUUCCAUCUACUGGCUCCUUUUCGCUCUUCACCCCUAUAAGUUUUGCGAAUAAUCCACUUCUUUGUGGUCCUGGUACCACAAAGCCCUGCCCUGGGGAUCCUCCUUUUUCCCCACCUCCUCCAUACAAUCCUCCAACACCACCAACUCAAUCAGCAGGUGCCUCUAGCACUGGAGCUAUCGCAGGUGGCGUUGCUGCUGGUGCUGCACUGGUGUUUGCUGUUCCUGCUAUUGCAUUUGCAAUGUGGCGCCGUCGUAAACCUGAAGAACAUUUCUUCGAUGUGCCUGCCGAGGAAGAUCCAGAAGUUCAUCUUGGUCAGCUUAAGAAGUUCUCAUUGCGAGAGCUUCAAGUUGCAUCUGACAACUUUAAUAAUAAGAACAUUUUAGGAAGAGGUGGUUUUGGAAAAGUGUACAAGGGGAGGCUUGCAGAUGGUACAUUGGUAGCGGUGAAAAGACUAAAAGAGGAACGUACCCCUGGUGGCGAGCUUCAGUUCCAAACAGAAGUUGAGAUGAUUAGCAUGGCAGUGCAUAGGAACCUUCUCCGACUUCGUGGUUUUUGCAUGACACCUACUGAACGAUUACUAGUCUAUCCAUACAUGGCCAAUGGCAGUGUUGCAUCACGUUUGCGAGAGCGUCAGCCAUCUGAACCACCCCUUGAUUGGGAUACCAGAAGACGAAUUGCACUUGGAUCUGCAAGGGGACUCUCUUACUUGCACGAUCACUGUGAUCCCAAGAUCAUCCACCGUGAUGUCAAAGCUGCAAAUAUUCUUUUGGACGAGGAUUUCGAGGCAGUUGUGGGUGAUUUUGGGCUUGCCAAACUUAUGGAUUACAAGGAUACUCAUGUAACUACUGCUGUUCGUGGAACAAUUGGACACAUUGCUCCUGAGUACCUAUCCACUGGAAAGUCCUCUGAGAAGACUGAUGUUUUCGGCUACGGAAUCACACUUCUGGAGCUUAUUACUGGGCAGAGGGCAUUUGAUCUUGCUCGCCUUGCAAAUGAUGAUGAUGUUAUGCUUCUUGACUGGGUGAAAGGAUUGUUGAAGGAGAAAAAAGUUGAGAUGCUGGUGGACCCAGACUUGCAGAGCAACUAUGAAGAGACCGAGGUGGAAUCGCUGAUCCAGGUAGCGCUGCUGUGCACGCAGGGCUCGCCAGUGGAGCGCCCCAAGAUGUCAGAGGUCGUGAGGAUGCUGGAAGGUGACGGCUUGGCAGAGAGAUGGGAGGAAUGGCAGAAGGUGGAGGUGGUCAGGCAGGAGGCAGAGUUGGCUCCUCUUCGCAACGACUGGAUUGUUGACUCCACAUAUAACCUCCGCGCCGUUGAACUGUCUGGCCCAAGAUGACCAACGUCGUUCUCUGGCAUAGGCAAAAAUCACCAUUUGAUCAGUCAUUCAGCCUAAUUGUUGUUUGUGAAUAUGAAAGGUAGCUUGUACUCUUUUGUUUAAUGACAAUUUUAAAGGAUGCAUUUUCCCCCCAUUCUCCUCCACACUGAGAAGUUAUGCUAGGCUGCAGUCAUUUGUUAAGGUGGAAGGCAUACAUUUUGUGUUGAAUUUGCAAUGCACUGUUGUAUCAAUCUGAUAAAAGUGCAACGUGUUAUUCUGUGAUCCCUUUGUCGGUGCAUAGACAUUCAUUUCUCUUCUUUUGUGGUGUCUUCAAAGCUAUUGUCAGUCAGUGUAAUCUCUGUAUCAAAAUAUAGGACCAUGUUUUGACACUAUGACAGUGGCAAG